ACGUCCCUGCCCUUUGUACACACCGCCCGUCGCUACUACCGAUUGAAUGGCUUAGUGAGACUCUCGGAUCGGGUAUUUCGAACCGGAAACGGUUUUUUUAUCUGAGAAGUUUGUCAAACUUGGUCAUUUAGAGGAAGUAAAAGUCGUAACAAGGUUUCCGUAGGUGAACCUGCGGAAGGAUCAUUAGAAAUUUUUUUAUGUAUUCAAAAAUUUUAAAUCUAUGUGAUAUUGUAUUAUUUGUUAUUUAAAUAAACGAGAUAACUUUCAACAACGGAUCUCUUGGCUCUUGCAUCGAUGAAGAACGCAGCGAAAUGCGAUAAGUAAUGUGAAUUGCAGAAUUCCGUGAAUCAUCAAAUCUUUGAACGCAAAUUGCACUCCUUGGUAUUCCGAGGAGUAUGCUUGUUUGAGGGUUGUUCCAAUAAAUUCGUUUUUUUUAAAAAUGGAUCUGAGUUUUCCAAUUUUGGUAACUUGAAAUUUAUCUUAACGAUAUCUUUGGUAUGAUAUUGAAAAUGGUCAUAUUCUUACAUCUCGUGAGUUUCAUUAACAAUUGAUUACCUGUCGUUACGUCGUGUCAUUUGCCCAAUCCUUUUUUGAUUGGGUCAUGUGAUACAAUUCUUCUUUCAACACCUCAAGUCAAGUAAGAAUACCCGCUGAACUUAAGCAUAUCAAUAAGCGGAGGAAAAGAAACUAACAAGGAUUCCCUUAGUAACGGCGAGUGAAGCGGGAAGAGCUCAAAUUUUAAAUCUCCGAGGUUUUCCUUGGCGAGUUGUAAUUUGAAGAGAGUGUUUUGACGUUCGGGUUCAAUCCAAAUCCUUUGGGAUAAGGUAUCAUAGAGGGUGAGAAUCCCGUUUAUGAUUGAAUCUCGGGUGUCGCUUAAUUCACUUUCCAAGAGUCGAGUUGUUUGGGAUUGCAGCUCAAAACGGGUGGUAAAUUUCACCUAAGGCUAAAUAUGUGCAAGAGACCGAUAGCGAACAAGUACCGUGAGGGAAAGAUGAAAAGAACUUUGAAAAGAGAGUUAAACAGUACGUGAAAUUGUUGAAAGGGAAACGAUUGAAGUCAGUCAUACCAACGGGAAAUCAACCUUUUGAGCUUGGUCUCGUGGGUUUUGAAGAGUUUCAAAGCCUUCGGAUUCGCGGGAUUGGGAUCUCUCGGUGUACUUUUUCGUACGGUUAGUCAACAUCGGUUUUAAAUGUCAUAAAAUGACUGGAGGAAUGUAGCUUCGAUCUCGUAUUGAAGUGUUAUAGCCUUUGGUAGAUGUGACGUUUGAGACCGAGGAUUGCAACGGAUACCCUUCAGGGCUAUUCGUCUGAUCUCUGAUACGUUGCCUUGAUGUUGAAAGCUUGCUUAUGAUGUUAGGGUAUUACGGUCAAAAGGUUAGAACGAAUUACGUUCGUUAAGGAUGUUGACGUAAUGACUUUAAACGACCCGUCUUGAAACACGG
rnacentral:rRNA from 1 species